rnacentral:rRNA from 1 species
CGGAGGGUGCAAGCGUUAUCCGGAUUCACUGGGUUUAAAGGGUGCGUAGGAGGGCAGGUAAGUCAGUGGUGAAAUCUCCAAGCUUAACUUGGAAACUGCCGUUGAUACUAUCUGUCUUGAAUGUUGUGGAGGUGAGCGGAAUAUGUCAUGUAGCGGUGAAAUGCUUAGAUAUGACAUAGAACACCAAUUGCGAAGGCAGCUCACUACACAAUUAUUGACUCUGAGGCACGAAAGCGUGGGGAUCAAACAGGAUUAGAUACCCUGGUAGUCCACGCCCUAAACUAUGGAUACUCGACAUACGCGAUAUACUGUGUGUGUCUGAGCGAAAGCAUUAAGUAUCCCACCUGGGAAGUACGACCGCAAGGUUG